UACGAAGGGGGCUAGCGUUGUUCGGAAUCACUGGGCGUAAAGCGUACGUAGGCGGAUGAAUAAGUCAGGGGUGAAAGCCUGGAGCUCAACUCCAGAACUGCCUUUGAUACUGUUUGUCUUGAGUCCGGGAGAGGUGAGUGGAACUGCUAGUGUAGAGGUGAAAUUCGUAGAUAUUAGCAAGAACACCAGUGGCGAAGGCGGCUCACUGGCCCGGUACUGACGCUAAUGCGCGAAAGCGUGGGGAGCAAACAGG
rnacentral:rRNA from 1 species